AGAGUUUGAUCCUGGCUCAGAAUCAACGCUGGCGGCGUGCCUAACACAUGCAAGUCGAACGAGAAAGUGGAGCAAUCCAUGAGUACAGUGGCGCACGGGUGAGUAACACGUGACUAACCUACCCUGGAGUGGGGGAUAACUGAGGGAAACCUUAGCUAAUACCGCAUAAUACCUACGGGUCAAAGGAGCAAUUCGCUUUGGGAGGGGGUCGCGGCCGAUUAGUUAGUUGGCGGGGUAAUGGCCCACCAAGACAGUGAUCGGUAUCCGGCCUGAGAGGGCGCACGGACACACUGGAACUGAAACACGGUCCAGACUCCUACGGGAGGCAGCAGUGGGGAAUUUUGCGCAAUGGGGGAAACCCUGACGCAGCAACGCCGCGUGGAGGAUGAAGUCCUUCGGGACGUAAACUCCUUUCGAUCGGGACGAUAAUGACGGUACCGGAAGAAGAAGCCCCGGCUAACUUCGUGCCAGCAGCCGCGGUAAUACGAGGGGGGCGAGCGUUGUUCGGAAUUAUUGGGCGUAAAGGGUGCGUAGGCGGUUUGGUAAGUCUUAUGUGAAAUCUAUGGGCUCAACUCAUAGACUGCAUGAGAAACUGCCGGGCUUGAGUAUGGGAGAGGUGAGUGGAAUUCCUGGUGUAGCGGUGAAAUGCGUAGAUAUCAGGAGGAACACCUGUGGCGAAAGCGGCUCACUGGACCAUAACUGACGCUGAUGCACGAAAGCUAGGGGAGCAAACAGGAUUAGAUACCCUAGUAGUCC
rnacentral:rRNA from 1 species